UAAAGGAGAUCUGAAUGUGUUAUUCCACAGAGUCAUGCAAGUGGUGGCAUCAAGCAGGGAGCCUGAACCUAGUGCAGACGCUGUAGGGAGGACGGACCAGAGUCUGAGGAGGACACAGAGCUUUGCCAAAAGAGUGCUGGGAACACACAGGGCUGCUUUUGCUGAUGACCCCCUGGGUAAUGCCUGGAACAAUGUCACUAUGAGGCUGCUGAAGCCCAGCACAGCUGAGGCCAAAGGACCUGGCUUGGAUGAUGCUGCUCUGGACCCUGAGUGAUGAGCAACUGCUCUGUGAGUCUUUAGACAAUUCAGGGCUGCGUGCUGUCUGCUCAGCUGAGCGUGGCCAGGAUGCCAUCCACACACAGGCUCUCACCCUCAGAGCAGAACACCCGAUUGCUAUAUUCCCUGGGCUAUGGGCCAGAGGAAGGCUGGACCAGACAUCUCCCACCAGAAGAUGAAUGGGAGCUUCUAGAGCUGUGGGAGUCUGCAGGAGGCUGUAAAUGGUAGGAGGGGGGCAGUUCUGUGGGAACAUCCUGCUGGUUUUGGCCCCACCCAACCAUGAAAACCACAUCAGUGAGCUCCUGGCAAGGAUUCCCGGAUGUCUUGUGAGUGCUCUUAACACCAAAUGGAUCAAAGAUAAAAAUUUUCCCCAAGAUGC